GACGAACGCUGGCGGCGUGCCUAAUACAUGCAAGUCGAACGCAGUUGCGAACGGGUGAGUAACGCGUAGGUAACUGCCUCAUAGCGGGGGAUAACUAAUGGAAACGGUAUCUAAUACCGCAUACUGGGAGAUGGACCUGCGUUGUAUUAGUUAGUUGGUGGGGUAAAGGCUCACCAAGGCGACGAUACAUAGCCGACCUGGGAGGGUGAUCGGCCAAACUGGGACUGGGAAACGGGCCCGACUCCUACGGGGGGGAGCAGUAGGGAAACUUCGGAAAUUGACGGAAGUCUGACCGAGCAACGCCGCGGGGGUGAAGGAGGUUUUCGGAUCGUAAAGCUAUGUUGUUAGAGAAGCGGUAACUAAACAGAAAGGAACGGCUAACUACGUGCCAGCAGCCGCGGUAAUAC
rnacentral:rRNA from 1 species